GUCCACGCCCUAAACGAUGCUCACUAGGUGUUGGGGAAGCGAUUCCUUGGUACCGAAGCUAACGCGUGAAGUGAGCCGCCUGGGGAGUACGGCCGCAAGGUUAAAACUCAAAGGAAUUGACGGGGACCCGCACAAGCGGUGGAUGAUGUGGAUUAAUUCGAUGCAACGCGAACAACCUUACCUACCCUUGACAUGUCUGGAAGGCUUCCGAGAGGAGGCUGUGCCUGAAAGGGACCGGAACACAGGUGCUGCAUGGCUGUCGU
rnacentral:rRNA from 1 species